rnacentral:tRNA from 1 species
UGGGGAUUAGCUCAGUCGGUAGAGCAUGCGGCUGUUAACCGCAGUGUCGUUGGUUCAAACCCAACAUUCCCAG